rnacentral:rRNA from 1 species
AUUGAACGCUGGCGGCAUGCUUUACACAUGCAAGUCGAACGGCAGCACGGGGGCAACCCUGGUGGCGAGUGGCGAACGGGUGAGUAAUGCAUCGGAACGUGCCCCGUCGUGGGGGAUAACACAUCGAAAGAUGUGCUAAUACCGCAUACGACCUGAGGGUGAAAGCGGGGGACCGCAAGGCCUCGCGCGAUGGGAGCGGCCGAUGUCUGAUUAGCUAGUUGGUGGGGUAAAGGCCUACCAAGGCGACGAUCAGUAGCUGGUCUGAGAGGACGACCAGCCACACUGGGACUGAGACACGGCCCAGACUCCUACGGGAGGCAGCAGUGGGGAAUUUUGGACAAUGGGGGCAACCCUGAUCCAGCCAUGCCGCGUGCGGGAAGAAGGCCUUCGGGUUGUAAACCGCUUUUGGCAGGAACGAAACGGUGCGGGCGAAUACCCUGUGCUAAUGACGGUACCUGCAGAAUAAGCACCGGCUAACUACGUGCCAGCCGCCGCCGUAA